GAGAGAGAGAGAGAGCAUGGCACUCCAUGGGGAUUCUUCCGGGGAGUUUGACAUCAAGUCUCCGGCCGACAAAUUCUUUACAUCUUUCGCCGACGACAUAAGUAGCACUUUUCACAUAAUAUCGAAGGAGAAAAGAACAGUAACGCUGAGUUUGAGUGGGAAUCUAGUCUCGGAUUGCUACAAGACGUUCAAAGCAACCAUCACGGUCACUCCUGCGGAAGACGAGGGCAAUGGUAGCCGCGUAGUGUGGACCGUCGAGUUCGAGAAGAUCCGCCAUGACAUCGAGGAUCCAAUGUGGAUCAUCGACAUUCUUAUCAAUUAUUUGAAGACUUAUUCUUAGGUCCACUCCCCUAGGGUGAACCUCUAGGUUCACCAACCAAUAGAAUUGUUUUAUUUUAUAUUCGAUAUCUUUAAAAAAAAAAACAAAAUAUUGUCAAAUUAUAUUAUGUUUUUAAAAUUAAAAAGUAAAAAUAAAAUAGUAAUAAUUACAAACAAAAAAAAU